rnacentral:RNase_P_RNA from 1 species
CGGGUCGGACAGUCGCGUGUGCAGCGCCGAAAGGCCGUACAUGAGGAAAGUCCGGGCUCCACAGGGCAAGGAUAACGGGUAACGCCCGCCGAAGGCGACUUCAGGAAAAGUGCAACAGAGAGAUACCGCCCCGCGUUGACGGGGUAAGGGUGGAAAGGUGCGGUAAGAGCGCCCCCGAUGGUGUGGAAGCAUCCAUCGCUGUAAACUCUAUUCGGAGCAACACCGCAGAGGAGGCAAGGCUGGCCCGGCUGCUUCCGAGAAGGUGGCUGGAACGCAGCGGCAACGCUACGUCUAGAUAGAUGACUGUCGAUUACAGAACCCGGCUUACAGACCCGAUC